rnacentral:misc_RNA from 1 species
GUUCAAUAUGGCAAAGCCGCAGCUGCAAGUAUUCAUCCUCUACUCUGUUUUCUUCUCUUUCUUUACAUUCCUCUUCUGGUAAAGAAUUAUCUGACUCAAAAUGGUUCCGUUUGUUGCAAUAGAAAGAGCCGAUCCCAUGAGAACACUUCUUGGUGCAUUUUCUUGGAUACUGGUGAAAACCCUUACCAUAGAACCUCCAAAAUUCAUUAAGGAUGUUAAAAAGCUAAGCUCCCCAGUACUUUUGUUA